UACGUAGGUGGCAAGCGUUGUCCGGAAUUAUUGGGCGUAGAGCGCGCGCAGGCGGUUUCUUAAGUCUGAUGUGAAAGCCCCCGGCUCAACCGGGGAGGGUCAUUGGAAACUGGGAAACUUGAGUGCAGAAGAGGAGAGUGGAAUUACACGUGUAGCGGUGAAAUGCGUAGAGAUGUGGAGGAACACCAGUGGCGAAGGCGACUCUCUGGUCUGUAACUGACGCUGAGGCGCGAAAGCGUAGGUAGCGAACAGG
rnacentral:misc_RNA from 1 species